rnacentral:rRNA from 1 species
GCAGCGGUUAUAGCAUGUUGAAUACACCAAUUCCCCACGGUUUACUGAAGUUAAACAACGUUACACGUGGUUGUUAUAUGGAUGGGUGACUAUAUGGGCAGUCACGUGGUACUUGCU